AACGAACGCUGGCGGCAUGCCUAACACAUGCAAGUCGAACGAGACCUUCGGGUCUAGUGGCGCACGGGUGCGUAACACGUGGGAAUUUGCCUCGGGGUAUGGAAUAACUCAGGGAAACUUGAGCUAAUACCAUAUAAUGUCUUCGGACCAAAGAUUUAUCGCCCUGAGAUAAGCCCGCGUAGGAUUAGCUAGUUGGUGGGGUAAAGGCUCACCAAGGCGACGAUCCUUAGCUGGUCUGAGAGGAUGAUCAGCCACACUGGGACUGAGACACGGCCCAGACUCCUACGGGAGGCAGCAGCGGGGAAUAUUGGACAAUGGGCGAAAGCCUGAUCCAGCAAUGCCGCGUGAGUGAUGAAGGCUC
rnacentral:rRNA from 1 species